ACCACGCAGAUCAUAUUUAGCCAUGUUAAGCUGAAACCAAGAAGUUCUGGAGACUUUUGAGAAACAAGUGGAGAUGCAAGAUUGGAGUGAGAUGGAUCACUCGUUGGGGGGACAUUUGUGACAACACAAUGACAAUGGCUAAAACUGGGAUGAAAUUACCUAAAGAAGGAUAUAGAAGAAGAAAAACGAAUGAAGUCCCACAGAAAGAGCCACAGCAAGAAGGAGAAAGUUCCUAAUGAACACACCAAAUGGAUCCAGACCGUGCCAUGACAAGAAAUACAAAACCUGCCAACACAUCUCCACCACCCCCACAAUUACUACACCCCACAACAGAGCCAUCAGCAUCCCUGGAUCUUACAGCUGCACCUCCAGAAAUGUGAUAUAUCUCAUCCAAUGCACCAAAUGCCUUGAUGGAAAAUACAUAGGAGAGACCAAACAACAACUGCGCACCAGAAUGAAUGCACACUGGAAAUCUAUCCAAGACAGAAAUACCCAGUUACCUGUGGGGGCACAUUUCUCACAAGAAAACCACUCUCUCUCCAAUCUCUCAGUCCUGAUCCUCAAAGGAAACCUACAAAACACUUCCCAGAGAUGAGCCUACAAACUCCACUUCAUCAACCUCCCGGAUACUAAAAAUCAUGGACUAAAUAUAGACAUUGGAUUUAUGACACAUUAUAACCUGCCUGAGAGCUGACUCCCCAGCUUACAGGAAAAGAGCUAAGAUGACAUCAGGAUAAAAAAUGGAAUGUUUUGAUGGCUGCCUUUUUAUAUUCCUGUUACUGUUCCUCUGAAUUAAUUCUUUUUAAGAUACUUAUUCUUUUAUAGGAAACAAUUACUAGUAAUUUUAAGAAUCAGUCUCAAUUUGUGUGUUACUUGCAAUAUUAAUUUCCUGUUGUUUUUAACUGUGUUGUUGUAUUUUAAUAUAAAACAAGUAUAGUAUAUACUUUAUGUGAUAUCCAUCUCUCAUUUCAGAUAUUCCCUAAUUAUUCCAUUUUUUAAAAUGACAUGGUACAAAAUAUAUUGAUGCAUUAUGGCAAUCAUAAAAGAUGCAAUAUGUUUUUUAAAAUUCCUAAAACUCAGACUGACCAAAUAAAAUAAGCUCUGGUUUCCUGGGAUGUGACAGCCAGAUGUAGCUCUGCUUUUUA